AGGGAGAAGCAGGCUCCAUGCAGUGCCUGAUGUGGGACUCGAUCUCAGGACCCUGAGAUCACACCCGGAGCCAAAAGCAGAUGCUCAACCGCUGAGCCACCACUCAGGUGCCCAGGUUUACGUGUUCUCAUAAGGAACAAUAACUUAGCAAAGAUACUAAGUCUCAGCAAGGUAAGGGGCAGAAGGAUGCACUGGUGCAUUAGUACUGCGUCCAACCCUGUGGGGUGGAAUGUAUGUAACUGUCCGCGCACCGAGGCAGGCAGAGGCCACCUCUGGAAGGACAUAAACAACACAGGUAAUGGAAGCUACCAGAAUUUUGUACUGGAAGGACUGUGCUGGGGGUGAGAGGGCAGGGCUGGUGCUGCAGCAGGGUCCAGCCGCAGGACAGUCCUCGCGACUCAGAGUCAUUAGAGGGGCCUGUGGCCGUGAAUAAUACCGCCCGCCCCGCCUCUGGGCCCACGGCAGCCAGCCUGCCCCAGGUCACGGCAGACUUAACUUUUUACUACAUAAUCUUUUGUGCUGUUUUGUUUCUUAAAACCCAAGGCAUAUAUGACCUCUUUAAUAAUUUAGAAUUUAAAAUUAAAAAAAGAGGAAUUUUCUGCCUGAGGCAGGACCCACCUAAGAAAUGAGAAGUAGCCAGGCGGCAAGUGGAGCGAGUGCCAGUAUUCUUGGGCCCCAGGCGGGAGGAGCUGAGCCGGAGGGACCUGUGGCCUCUCCCCCAGCCCAGGCGGGACCUUGGGGACCCUCCCUCCAUCUCCCUUCAGUGGAAGAUUUUAUCCUCUCCCUCCCGUGGGCGGCAGCUGGUCGUGGCUGCAGAGGCAGGGUUUUGGACAAGAUGUAUCUCAGUAGCUACCCUGAGCUCAAGAACACGGAAGACAGGAUACCGGGGAGACUCCUCCAUGACCUUGGCAAAAAGGGACCAGGUGCCUGGUGAGGGGUCACAGUGGGGGUGGAAGCAACCCCCGGCAGUAUUGAUUAUUUGGAAAACUCAACCCCAAAUGACUUGAGCAUAACUGCUUCUCCAUCUCCCGGAGAAAGUGGACUUUCCCCCGUUGUGGGGGGAAAAGUCCUUCCCUUCUCUCUGGGUGCCUUAGGUCAACCCCCUCUUGAGCUCGGUGAUUGGCACCCCAAGGAUGAUAGACUGAAGUCGAGAUCCCGAGUUAGGCUCUGGUGAGGAGCACGACCCCACCUCCCUGGUCCUGGACUCCUCAGAGUGGCCCUGCAGUAAUUUCCUGGAUGACUACUGGGUGCUAAGCAGGGGGCCAGAGGCUGGAGAUGUGGCAGCGACUGGCCACCCUCUGCCAAGUCAUUGCUUCCCCCAAGGCUCCUCGGGUGCCCUCCUUUGUGGUGAGGCCUCCUGCUUAAUCCUGCACCUCAUGCUCCCACCUGGCACCCCCACAUCCGCUCUACUUCCUCCGUCUUCCGCAGCACUCCUAACUUGCCAACAUGCUAUAAGCUUCAGGCCUCUGACUGCGAGGUGGAGUCUGGGCAUCCCUGUGCCACCACUGCCUCUCUCGCUUGCUCGGGUGCUGAGCUGGAGCCUAAUCACUUAAUUUGUCAAUUUGGCGUUAUUUCCCCUGAGCCCAGGAUGUGGCAUCGCAUGGCCCACGGGCGCUGCUGCGGGAUGGAAACUGAGGCUUGGAGGGGAUACAGGCAUGCAGGGUGGGCCACGAGGGGGAUCCUUGAGGGGAUUCGGAGGGCAGAAGGGAAGCAACAGCCAUUCUGUCGCUCGCACCUGUCGUGGCUGCUCUGCUGACCCACCUCAUCGACGGGAAGGAGCAGCUGGUUCCUCCCGCUGAGCCAGCUUUGAGUUGGGGAAACGGACUCAUCGCCGGGAUUCAGACCCAGGCUGUCUGCCUUCCAUGGUUUUUGCCAUCGCCGUCCCUCCUGUGACAAGGCAGUGUGGAGAUGAGCUGACAUCGUGGACGUCAAGGCUCUGCAAAGGGCGGUGUAGUGUUCAUUCUUCUUCAGUGGGUCUCACAUGGGAAGUUCCCCUUCAGUUCCCUCAAAUAUGCAGAAAUAACCUAAACAAGCGAGCUAGCUAGAAAGCUAGUCACUGUCACAACAAACACAGCCAGAAAGGUAGGCUCUUCCGAGGACCCAGAAAAAUCCAGCACUCUCCAGAGAAGAGGACCCCCCCUAGGGAUCCCUGCCUUGGAUAUUCUGGCCCCUUGGCAAGUGGGAGGCUUAGAGGGGUGUGUCAGGCUCUACCUAAGUGUCAAUCCAUCAAUUCCCUUCACUCUGACUUUAUACUGAACAAACAACCUUCUCGUAUUGAUUACCUUUCCCAAAAGUCUAUCCCUUCCUGAAAGAGGUUGUGCUGACCAGUCAACCUCAGGAUUCCCGUCUGCUGGGUGGUUUCAUUUCUCAGUGUAAAUUAAUAAAUUGCACUCCAGGUUUAUCAA